GAUGAACGCUGGCGGCGUGCCUAAUACAUGCAAGUCGAGCGAACGGACGAGAAGCUUGCUUCUCUGAUGUUAGCGGCGGACGGGUGAGUAACACGUGGAUAACCUACCUAUAAGACUGGGAUAACUUCGGGAAACCGGAGCUAAUACCGGAUGAUAUUUUGAACCGCAUGGUUCAAAAGUGAAAGACGGUCUUGCUGUCACUUAUAGAUGGAUCCGCGCUGCAUUAGCUAGUUGGUAAGGUAACGGCUUACCAAGGCAACGAUGCAUAGCCGACCUGAGAGGGUGAUCGGCCACACUGGAACUGAGACACGGUCCAGACUCCUACGGGAGGCAGCAGUAGGGAAUCUUCCGCAAUGGGCGAAAGCCUGACGGAGCAACGCCGCGUGAUUGAUGAAGGUCUUCGGAUCGUAAAACUCUGUUAUUAGGGAAGAACAUAUGUGUAAGUAACUGUGCACAUCUUGACGGUACCUAAUCAGAAAGCCACGGCUAACUACGUG
rnacentral:rRNA from 1 species